rnacentral:rRNA from 1 species
CAAUAUUUCUCAAUGGACGUCUUGGCUUGACAACGAUGAAGACCGUGGCAAAAAACGAUAUUUAAUGUGAAUUGCAAGAACCCGAGAAUCAUCAAGAUGUUGAACGCAAAUUGCACUUGAUUUCUAUCAAGUACGCCUGAAUCAGGGACU